AUUGAACGCUGGCGGCAGGCUUAACACAUGCAAGUCGAGCGGAGACUUCGGUCUUAGCGGCGAACGGGUGAGGAAUGCCUGGGAAUCUGCCUGUUAGUGGGGGAUAACGUUCCGAAAGGAACGCUAAUACCGCAUACGUCCUACGGGAGAAAGCAGGGGACCUUCGGGCCUUGCGCUAACAGAUGAGCCCAGGUCGGAUUAGCUAGUUGGUGGGGUAAAGGCUCACCAAGGCGACGAUCCGUAGCUGGUCUGAGAGGAUGAUCAGCCACACUGGAACUGAGACACGGUCCAGACUCCUACGGGAGGCAGCAGUGGGGAAUAUUGGACAAUGGGGGAAACCCUGAUCCAGCGAUGCCGCGUGUGUGAAGAAGGCCUGCGGGUUGUAAAGCACUUUCAGUGGGAAAGAGAAGCGUCUUGUGAAUAAUGGGACGUGGAGACGUUACUCACAGAAGAAGCACCGGCUAACUCUGUGCCAGCAGCCGCGGUAAU
rnacentral:rRNA from 1 species